UCAACCCCCCUUCCCCUAACACCCUCCCCCUUCGUUACUCAUUCAGAAUCAGAGUCAGAAAAGCAAAUCUUCAAAGUUCAAAACUUAGGGUUCUACCGGCGCCGUCCGUUGUUGUCAGUGCCUCCGCAGCCUCUUCCUUCCCUCUGUCCCGAACCCAGCCCCUCUUGUAGCUCGACACGUCAUCCCCAUCGUCCUGUGGCUUCUCUGGUUGAGGGUUGAAGUUGCUCGCUGUCGUGUUGCCGUCGCGCUCAAAUAGAGGAAGAAUCAUUGCAAGCGCCGUCGUUUCCUCCUCCUCUCGGUCAAGCCGUCAUCUGCUUCUCAGCCGUCCUACUUGCCGCGGUCCUUAUUGUCUGUGACCCUCAGUCACGCCGCAUCCUCUAUCCUAGGGGAGCAGCUCAAAGUUGGGAGUGGAGUAGCUUGCAGCAUUGAGAGUUGUUUUAUAAUUUAUUUAUUAUUUUAUUUUAAAACAGUUUUUUGGUUAGAUUAUGAUUGGACUAGUUGAACCAAUAAAUCAAUAAAUAGAACGGUUUGAUGAUCGAUCCGGUUCUCAGAA